rnacentral:rRNA from 1 species
GACGUAGGGCGCGAGCGUUGUCCGGAUUUAUUGGGCGUAAAGAGCUCGUAGGCGGCUUGUCGCGUCUGCCGUGAAAGUCCGGGGCUCAACUCCGGAUCUGCGGUGGGUACGGGCAGACUAGAGUGAUGUAGGGGAGACUGGAAUUCCUGGUGUAGCGGUGAAAUGCGCAGAUAUCAGGAGGAACACCGGUGGCGAAGGCGGGUCUCUGGGCCGAAACUGACGCUGAGGAGCGAAAGCGUGGGGAGCAAACAGG